rnacentral:rRNA from 1 species
UGGCAAGUUAGGGGGGAAAUCCCGGGGCCCAACCCCGGAAAUGCCUUUAAAACUGCCGGUCUAGAGUUCGAGAGAGGUGAGUGGAAUUCCGAGUGUAGAGGUGAAAUUCGUAGAUAUUCGGAAGAACACCAGUGGCGAAGGCGGCUCACUGGCCCGGUACUGACGCUGAGAUGCGAAAGCGUGGGGAGCAAACAG